rnacentral:rRNA from 1 species
GACGAACCGUGCGAACGUUGUUCGGAAUCACUGGGCUUAAAGGGAGCGCAGGCGGGCUAACAAGUCUGGGGUGAAAUGCCACGGCUCAACCGUGGAACUGCCUUAGAUACUGUCGGCCUCGAGGGAGAUAGGGGCAUGCGGAACUGUAGGUGGAGCGGUGAAAUGCGUUGAUAUCUACAGGAACUCCGGUGGCGAAAGCGGCGUGCUGGAUCUCUUCUAGCGCUGAGGCUUGAAAACUAGGGGAGCAAACGGG